AGCAUAGCGACAGAGAUAUUCCCCACAAGACUACUGCUCGUUGGACUGACUGAGUCUGAGUCGUUGGGUGGCCAAGGUGGAGAGGGAGAAGCGACUGAGACCCUUUGAGAAUUUCCAACAGCUCCUCAUAUUUACGUUGUCUUCAACUCCGACCCGACCAGCGGUCUUCAGCAUCGCUCUCUCUGCAACUACAGUUCACUUUAUCCCGCACGCCUCCUGUCCUUGCGCGAAGAAAUCAGAAGCUCCCCAACCGACUGCCGACGUGGACGUGGGGGAGACUCGGUCCUCGGAAAGGUUCAUGCAUCUAUCUGAGGACAGAGGGAGUGGGAGUCUGUAAAUUCCUCCCGGUUUUGACCCUUGCCUGUUCUGGACUCUGUACCCGCCUGCCUGACCACUCUGCCUGCCCUGAGCCUGCCCACCGACCUACACCUCUGGAUUACCAUCCUCUGGAUUAC
ensembl:lncRNA